rnacentral:rRNA from 1 species
GGGGGUGUCAUAGCGGUGUGGUCCCACCUGAUUCCAUCUCGAACUCAGAAGUGAAACGCGCCUGCAGUGAAGAUAGUGCUGAGGUAGCUCAGUGUGAAAAUAGCUCGAUGCCCCCA